CUGAUUUCUUUGGUUGUUUUAUAUUUUGGGUUGUUUUUUUUGUUGUUUGUUUGUUUUUCUUGAAGGAUCUGAAGGCAUAGCAUCAGUUAAUGCUUCCCUCUGAGCAUGAAGAAUCACCGGAAGCAACCAUGGAAGAUGAGACAAACCCUAUCCCCAUCUUCAGGCACCCAACUGACUGCCUGGCACAAAAAACCCAUCUCCAUCUGAAGGUGUUCUGAAGAUCUUCUACUGCACUAUCAUGUCUGAAAUUUUGCAUUUGAAGUGGAAUUUAUCAAUAGCAGUUUUCAGCUGCUUUGCUAACUGAUUACACCUACAGUUCAGGUCUAAUUUCUUCUAUUUUUUCCUCAGGGGCACAAAAAUUGCAUCAAGAUAGUUAUCCCAGGAAAUGUUUAAAUGGUCCAAAUGUCAGAACUGCCCUACUGGCUGACAGGGAUAAGCUAGCUGUCAUGGACUAAUGAGCUGUAACCUGGAGUUCUGGUUGAUCCUGCCACCCUUGGCCAAAAUAAUCCAAGGAGGGACGUGACGUAUGUUGCAAUCUUGUUUUGAGAACUGGACAUUCAGAUAUCUUCCAGGACUGCUCUCAAGGCUGUAUUGUGCUCACAUUAAAAUUGUUUGGGAGGAUUUGGAAAAGCUUAGAGAUGGAGAACUAAUGCCUGGGCUUUGCUAUGCACCACAGUAAAUGCGGAGGCAAAGAAACCCCUUAAACCUGAGCUCCCUGCUGCAGUGAAUAGUCUGUUGUUCUACUGUUUACAGCCCUUUGACAGGGUGACUAUUUUGAUCAAUGUUAGGCAUAUGCUUAUGUUUCAUUUCCUUUUCCAUUGUCUUUUGUAUCCAAUGUGAAAGAUUUCAGUGUUUACUUAGCUGAAAGUAUUGUGUGUUGUGUUUUUUUUCAUAUAAGUGUUUUCCAUUUAUUUUAUUAUUUCUUCCCCUGGGAAGCAACAUUUGGAAGCAUCCAGGAAAUAAUAUUCUAAUGAGCGCUAAGUUGCAGUCUUUGAGAGCACAGAGAGAAGUUGGUGUAGGGAGGAAAAAAAAAGCAGUUGCAAUGUACCACUCCAUGAUGCAUUUUGUAGCAACAUCUCUACUUUCCAGGUGUUUCUCCCCUAAAGGAUGAUCUUUCACAUUUCUCUAAAUGAAAACCCAGGGAACUUAUAGUUCAAGUCAAACAAACUCUUGUUAAAAGCACUAGAAAUCGAUGCAAGUGAGUGAAAGUGUAAAGUCGUACCUGUCCACUGUGGCGUAUCACAC
rnacentral:lncRNA from 1 species